rnacentral:tRNA from 1 species
GCGGGAGUGGUGGAACUGGUAGACACACCAUCUUGAGGGGGUGGCGCUCGAAAGGGCAUGCGGGUUCAAGUCCCGCCUUCCGCA